UUGACCCUACGGGGGGCAGCAGUGGGGAAUAUUGCACAAUGGGGGAAACCCUGAUGCAGCGACGCCGCGUGAGUGAAGAAGUAUUUCGGUACGUAAAGCUCUAUCAGCAGGGAAGAAAAAUGACGGUACCUGACUAAGAAGCCCCGGCUAACUACGUGCCAGCAGCCGCGGUAAUACGUAGGGGGCAAGCGUUAUCCGGAUUUACUGGGUGUAAAGGGAGCGUAGACGGCUGUGCAAGUCUGAAGUGAAAUGCCGGGGCCCAACCCCGGAACUGCUUUGGAAACUGUACAGCUA
rnacentral:rRNA from 1 species